GGGCCCAUAGUUUCAAUGGCUAAAAUAUAGCUCUCCAAAAGCUGAGUUCUUGGUUCGAAUCCAAGUGGGCCUG
rnacentral:tRNA from 1 species